rnacentral:rRNA from 1 species
CCAAUAGCGUAUAUUAAAGUUGUUGCAGUUAAAAAGCUCGUAGUUGAAUUUCGGGAUCAAUACGUCGGUCGUGCUUUUGGGUACGUACUGGCGUCAUUGGUUUCUCCUUUCUGACGAACCAUGAUGUCAUUAAUUUGGUGUUAUGGGGAGUUAGGACUGUUACUUUGAAAAAAUUAGAGUGUUUAAAGCAGGCAUUAGCUUGAAUACAUUAGCAUGGAAUAAUGAAAUAGGACGUUCGAUCCUAUUUUGUUGGUUUCUAGGAUCAACGUAAUGAUUAAUAGGGAUAGUUGGGGGCAUUAGUAUUCAAUUGUCAGAGGUGAAAUUCUUGGAUUUAUUGAAGACUAACUACUGCGAAAGCAUUUGCCAAGGAUGUUUUCAUUAAUCAAGAACGAAAGUUAGGGGAUCGAAGACGAUCAGAUACCGUCGUAGUCUUAACCAUAAACUAUGCCGACUAGGGAUCGGAUGAUGUUAAUUUUUUAAUGACUCAUUCGGCGCCUUACG